UACCACUUGGGGUAGGCGGGCUCGGUGAACAGCUCGCGCUCGAAGAGGGUGAGCGUCUGCGUCUCGAGUUCGAAGCCGGUGGUGGCGUC
rnacentral:tRNA from 1 species